rnacentral:rRNA from 1 species
GGGCAGCAGCGGAACCACUCGGCAAUGGAGUGGUUGUUCGACUAUCCGGCGCCCGAGUAGCACACUGGGACUGAGACACGGCCCAGACUCCUACGGGAGGCAGCAGUGGGGAAUAUUGCACAAUGGGCGAAAGCCUGAUGCAGCGACGCCGCGUGAGGGAUGACGGCCUUCGGGUUGUAAACCUCUUUCAGCAGGGAAGAAGCGAGAGUGACGGUACCUGCAGAAGAAGCGCCGGCUAACUACGUGCCAGCAGCCGCGGC